rnacentral:misc_RNA from 1 species
GACGAACCGACCGAACGUUAUUCGGAAUUACUGGGCUUAAAGGGUGCGUAGGCGGCCAUGCAAGUCAGAUGUGAAAUCCCACGGCUCAACCGUGGAACUGCGUUUGAAACUGCAUGGCUUGAGGGGGAUAGGGGUGAGCGGAACUGAUGGUGGAGCGGUGAAAUGCGUUGAUAUCAUCAGGAACACCGGUGGCGAAGGCGGCUCACUGGGUCUCUUCUGACGCUGAGGCACGAAAGCUAGGGGAGCGAACGGG